GCGCACCAGGCGCGAAUCCUUCGCAAUGCGGGAAACUGCGACGAGGGGACUCCCAGUGCCUACGCUCAGCGUAGGCUGUUCCCGAGCCUAGAAAGCUCGGGGAGUAAGGGCUGGGUAAGACGGGUGCCAGCCGCCGCGGUAAUACCCGCAGCCCGAGUGGUGGCCACUAUUAUUGGGCCUAAAGCGUCCGUAGCCGGCCCGGUAAAUGCCUGGGUAAAUCGUGAGGCCUAACCUCACGAAUUCCGGGUAGACUGCCGGGCUAGGGACCGGAGGAGGGAGAGGGGUACUCCAGGGGUAGGGGUGAAAAUCCUGUAAUCCCUGGAGGACCACCGGUGGCGAAGGCGCUCUCCUAGGACGGGUCCGACGGUGAGGGACGAAAGCCAGGGGAGCGAACCGGAUUAGAUACCCCUGUAGU
rnacentral:rRNA from 1 species